CACGUAGGGUGCGAGCGUUGUCCGGAAUUAUUGGGCGUAAAGAGCUCGUAGGCGGUGUGUCGCGUCGGCCGUGAAAACCUGCAGCUUAACUGUGGGCGUGCGGUCGAUACGGGCAUCACUGGAGUUCGGCAGGGGAGACUGGAAUUCCUGGUGUAGCGGUGAAAUGCGCAGAUAUCAGGAGGAACACCAGUGGCGAAGGCGGGUCUCUGGGCCGAUACUGACGCUGAGGAGCGAAAGCGUGGGGAGCAAACAGG
rnacentral:rRNA from 1 species